rnacentral:rRNA from 1 species
GUUUCAGCCGCCGCGGUAAUGCGUAGGGUGCAAGCGUUAAUCGGAAUUACUGGGCGUAAAGCGUGCGCAGGCGGUUAUGCAGGACAGAGGUGAAAUCCCCGGGCUCAACCUGGGAACUGCCUUUGUGACUGCAUGGCUAGAGUACGGUAGAGGGGGAUGGAAUUCCGCGUGUAGCAGUGAAAUGCGUAGAUAUGCGGAGGAACACCGAUGGCGAAGGCAAUCCCCUGGACCUGUACUGACGCUCAUGCACGAAAGCGUGGGAAGCAAACAGGAUUAGAUACCCUGGUAGUCCACGCCCUAAACGAUGUCAACUGGUUGUUGGGAGGGUUUCUUCUCAGUAACGUAGCUAACGCGUGAAGUUGACCGCCUGGGGGGUACGGCCGCAAGGUUGAAACUCAAAGGAAUUGACGGGGACCCGCACAAGCGGUGGAUGAUGUGGUUUAAUUCGAUGCAACGCGAAAAACCUUACCUACCCUUGACAUGCCAGGAAUCCUGAAGAGAUUUGGGAGUGCUCGAAAGAGAGCCUGGACACAGGUGCUGCAUGGCCGUCGUCAGCUCGUGUCGUGAGAUGUUGGGUUAAGUCCCGCAACGAGCGCAACCCUUGUCAUUAGUUGCUACGAAAGGGCACUCUAAUGAGACUGCCGGUGACAAACCGGAGGAAGGUGGGGAUGACGUCAGGUCAUCAUGGCCCUUAUGGGUAGGGCUACACACGUCAUACAAUGGCCGGGACAGAGGGCUGCCAACCCGCGAGGGGGAGCUAAUCCCAGAAACCCGGUCGUAGUCCGGAUCGUAGUCUGCAACUCGACUGCGUGAAGUCGGAAUCGCUAGUAAUCGCGGAUCAGCCUGCCGCGGUGAAUACGUUCCCGGGUCUUGUACACACCGCCCGUCAAAC